rnacentral:rRNA from 1 species
GAUGAACGCUGGCGGCAUGCCUAAUACAUGCAAGUCGAGCGAACAGACGAGGAGCUUGCGCCCCUGACGUUGGCGGCGGACGGAUGCGUAACAUGGGGAUAACCUACCUAUAAGACUGGGAUAACUUCGGGAAACAGGAGCUACUACCGGAUAAUAUAUUGAACCGCAUGGUUCAAUAGUGAAAGACGGUUUUGCUGACACUUAUAGAUGGAUCCGCGCCGCAUUAGUUAGUGGGUAAGGUAGCGGCUUACCAAGGCGACGAUGCGUAGCCGACCCGAGAGGGUGGUCGGCCACACUGUAUCUGAGACACGGCCCCGACUCCGACGGUGGGCCGCGGUAGGGAAUCUUCCGCGAUGGGCGAGAGCCUGACGGUGCAACGCCGCGUGAGUGAUGAAGGUCUUCGGAUCGUAGAGUUCUGUUAUUAGGGAGGUAGAAAUGUUUAAGUACCUGUGCACGUCUUGACGGUACCGGGUCAAAAAGCCACGGCUAACUACGUG